CUCAGGAUGAACGCUAGCGACAGGCCUAACACAUGCAAGUCGAGGGGCAGCACAAGGAGCAAUCUGAGGUGGCGACCGGCGCACGGGUGAGUAACACGUAUGCAACCUGCCUGUAAGCGGGGAAUAACCCGUUGAAAGACGGACUAAUACCGCAUAAUACUAAAUUACUGCAUGGUAAUUUAUUUAAACAUUUAUGGCUUACAGAUGGGCAUGCGCAUGAUUAGCUAGUUGGAGAGGUAACGGCUCCCCAAGGCAACGAUCAUUAGGGGUUCUGAGAGGAAGGUCCCCCCACACUGGUACUGAGACACGGACCAGACUCCUACGGGAGGCAGCAGUGAGGAAUAUUGGUCAAUGGACGAGAGUCUGAACCAGCCAAGUCGCGUGCAGGAAGAAUUGUCCUAUGGAUUGUAAACUGCUUUUGCAGGGGAAUAAAGUGCAUCACGUGUGAUGUUUUGUAUGUACUCUGCGAAUAAGGAUCGGCUAACUCCGUGCCAGCCGCCGC
rnacentral:rRNA from 1 species